UAGUGGAUGUUUUAUCUAAAAAGAGUAGUCAAGUCAAAAGUCAAAAGGAGUUUAUUUGUAACGAGACCAAGGGCCCAUAUACAAGAUAUAACUAUACAUAGUUAACAAGAGCAUACAGAUGAAGUCUAAAGUGUUUCUAAAUACCUAUUUCUUUUUAUAUAUGCAUGGUAAAUGUAAUACUGUACACG